CUCAGUGUUAAACAACAGCAGUCCGACAGAAGAUGAUUUCACGAUGGCAGGAGGAGAUCUGUGGAAAACAGAACAGCAGUUGUGGUUUGAAGAGUACCUUUCUUCAGGAAAUUGUGGAGACUCUGCAGCAAUGGCUGAAGGUAUACUCUCCAAGUUACCUAAUGGAAUAGUGGCUACACCCUGUUUUCUGUGACGUGG